CUCUGUCUGCUGUAGUGCAAAC
rnacentral:miRNA from 1 species